ACUGCAUUUCACUUUCAGAUCUGACAGGAAGCUUUACAUUUUAAAUAUACAGAACCUUUGUGCAUUAUUGUUCUACUUAAAAGUAAGCUUUAAGCACUGAAUUUUGUGUACACGUGAAUGUAAAAGUGAAUUGCAGUUUCUAUUUCUACUGUGCAGUGGAUUAGUUGGCAAAUUGACAGCAGCUCUGACUGGCACACACCGACAGGCAGUAACUUCUGCUGCUGCAAUCUCUCUAAUUUAGCCUAAGGCGUUGACAGAAAUAAAAGCGAAACUACAGACUGGCAUAUCAGUCAACAUGUUGCUUCUUUGUUCAACUUAUCCAGACGUUUACCGCAUGGAUGGAUUUUUUCUUUUUACCUCCUUAAGGAAUAAUAUGAUGGCGUCAUAAAUCAAGGGUAACAAUCUGCAAAGCAUCAAAAGUAAUCCUGGCAUCCUCCACCCCUCCGUCUGCGGCAGAAGAAGGAAGAAGAAAACGUGAAGGCAGCCUGUCUGUAAAGGAACUAUAUCUGAAACUAAGAAGGAGACAGACUGUGGGAAUUGAACAAAUAUACAUUCAGCAAUAAAAUAUGGACAUAAAGUAAAAAGAGGUCUUCUAUAAAGUGUUUCACAUCCGUUUUUUAAUGGUUUUUCUAGUUUGUCUAGUCUAGACUUUACCAACUUCAGGACAUGAGCUUAUAAACCAUAAACCAUAAUAAACGUGUAUCUGUGUGAUUUAUCUUCUUAAUAUUUACAAGAGGACUUAAUAUAAAAUUAUUGCAAUCUUUUUUCACUUUAAUACAUGUUCACGUAGUCAUUGUUGACUUUUUUAAUAGGGUUGAUGACAGGAAAAACAGGAAAUAGUGUAAGACAUCAUAAACUGAACAAAAGGGGUUAUUCAUGUGCAGUUGUCAGGUCAAGAGUUUAACGUACAGUAGCACGGCAUUACCCUGACCACAAUUAAUGAUUAAUUUAUUAUUUAGUCAGUUAGUUAGCUGCUCAGCAGAUGCAUUUUAAAGUUUUUUUACUAUAUGUCCUGUCAAGAACAAAUGUCAAAGCAUAGAGUCUAACUACGUACCGUGUACAGAAUGAAAUGCUGUUUUAUGUUAAUACAGACACACUAGAUCACAAAGGUCACAAUUUAUCAUUUCAAUAAAGUGAAAAUCAUCUGUAUGUUAUAAUAAAACAAUACAAUUCUGUACUAAAGUUA